UAGGGAAUCUUCCACAAUGGGCGCAAGCCUGAUGGAGCAACACCGCGUGAGUGAAGAAGGGUUUCGGCUCGUAAAGCUCUGUUGUUGGAGAAGAAUAUGCGUGAGAGUAACUGUUCACGCAGUGAUGGUAUCCAACCAGAAAGUCACGGCUAACUACGUGCCAGCAGCCGCGGUAAUACGUAGGUGGCAAGCGUUAUCCGGAUUUAUUGGGCGUAAAGCGGGCGCAGGCGGUUGCUUAGGUCUGAUGUGAAAGCCUUCGGCUUAACCGAAGAAGUGCAUCGGAAACCGGGCGACUUGAGUGCAGAAGAGGACAGUGGAACUCCAUGUGUAGCGGUGGAAUGCGUAGAUAUAUGGAAGAACACCAGUGGCGAAGGCGACUGUCUGGUCUGCAACUGACGCUGAGGCUCGAAAGCAUGGGUAGCGAACAGGAUUAGAUACCCUGGUAGUCCAUGCCGUAAACGAUGAGUGCUAGGUGUUGGAGGGUUUCCGCCCUUCAGUGCCGGAGCUAACGCAUUAAGCACUCCGCCUGGGGAGUACGACCGCAAGGUUG
rnacentral:rRNA from 1 species